UACGUAGGGUGCAAGCGUUAAUCGGAAUUACUGGGCGUAAAGCGUGCGCAGGCGGUUGUGCAAGUCAGAUGUGAAAUCCCCGGGCUUAACCUGGGAAUUGCAUUUGAGACUGCACGGCUAGAGUGUGUCAGAGGGGGGUAGAAUUCCACGUGUAGCAGUGAAAUGCGUAGAUAUGUGGAGGAAUACCGAUGGCGAAGGCAGCCCCCCUGGGAUAACACUGACGCUCAUGCACGAAAGCGUGGGGAGCAAACAGG
rnacentral:rRNA from 1 species